rnacentral:misc_RNA from 1 species
GAUGAAGAACGUAGCGAAAUGCGAUAAGUAAUGUGAAUUGCAGAAUUCAGUGAAUCAUCGAAUCUUUGAACGCACAUUGCGCCCGCUAGUAUUCUGGCGGGCAUGCCUGUCCGAGCGUCAUUUCAACCCUCAAGCCCCCGGGCUUGGUGUUGGGGAUCGGCGAGCCUCCGCGCCCGCCGUCCCCUAAAUCUAGUGGCGGUCUCGCUGUAGCUUCCUCUGCGUAGUAGCACACCUCGCACUGGGAAACAGCGCGGCCACGCCGUUAAACCCCCAACUUCUGAACGUUUGACCUCGGAUCAGGUAGGAAUACCCGCUGAACUUAAGCAUAUCAAUAAUCGGAGGA